rnacentral:rRNA from 1 species
GUGUCAGCCGCCGCGGUAAUACGUAGGGUGCGAGCGUUAAUCGGAAUUACUGGGCGUAAAGCGUGCGCAGGCGGUUUUGAAAGUCAGAUGUGAAAUCCCCGAGCUCAACCUGGGAACUGCGUUUGAAACUCCAAAGCUAGAGUAUAGGAGAGGGGGGUAGAAUUCCACGUGUAGCAGUGAAAUGCGUAGAGAUGUGGAGGAAUACCAAUGGCGAAGGCAGCCCCCUGGCCUAAUACUGACGCUCAUGCACGAAAGCGUGGGGAGCAAACAGGAUUAGAAACCCUAGUAGUCC